CUCUUAUUUGAAUUGCUCUGAGCAGAGAUUUGGACAUUUGUGGUUUUGUUUUGUGGGAUGAUCUUAAACUUUAAUCGUGACAUUUAUGCUCCCACUACAUUUUUUUUUAAUGGUGGUAAAAUGGGUAUAAUGGAAAAUUGACCAUGUUAGCCAUUUCCGAGUGUGUGGUUAGGUGGCAGUAAACACAUUCACACUGUGGUGCAGCUAUCGCCUCCAGAAAUGUUCCUUUUCCCAAACCGAAGGCCUGCCCAUUAAACAUGAACUCCCCGUUCCUCCCUCCUCCAGCCCAGACUGAGCACCACUCUCUGUGAAUUGGACCACUCGAGGGCCCAGGCGAGUCAAUCCUGUGCAUCUGGCUGGAUUCACUCAGCACAGUGACUCAUCCACGUUGGGGGACAGCAGUUUCAUUCCCCUCGUGGCCAAACAGCCUCCCAUUGUCUGCAGGGACCACGUUUUGGGUACACACCAUCCGCCGGUGGACUAAGAUGAGUCUAUGAGGAGAAGGCACGGACAGGUGGACGACUCUAUUUCACUCCUUGCCAGCUGCAUGACCUUGAACAAGCCACUUAAUCUGUCAGGGGGAGGACCACUGCUGCCUGGACAAGUCCCUGAGAUCGCAGUUAGGGAGCUGGUUCAGUGGGACUGUUGAUCAGCCACCAGCCCAGCCCUGCCUAAGAGACUUGUGAGUCAAGGAAAGAACAGUCACUGUACUCUAUUGCCCAGUCACUGGGUCGAUGAGUGAGAAAACCCUGAUGAAAGGCUAUUGAGUCCCUGGAUCCAGCCUGACCUGAAGCUAGAUCCUGAAUGCUAAGACAAUA